GAUCGUGGUCUGCAGCACGCGC
rnacentral:snRNA from 1 species